GGUGACGUGUCCGAGCGGCCGAAGGUGCAUCACUCCAAAUGACGUUCUGGUGUCAAAGCCGACGUGGGUUCAAAUCCCCACCGUCACCGCCA
rnacentral:tRNA from 1 species